CUUUGGUGAUUCAGCUUCAAUGAUUGGCUACAGGUUUCUUUCAUAAAGCUAGGUUACCAAAGCU
rnacentral:pre_miRNA from 1 species